CAGAUUUCAAAGUUGUUAAGUUUAUACUGUUAUUCACUUUGCAUAACUCUGUAUGUUUCUGUUUGAUUCAGAGGGGAGAUCACUUGCUGUGUGAUUCCUGCAUGUGUACUUGUCCUAGCACAGUAGCUGUGUGGAGAAACCGAAGUCACUACUGUUGUCUAUACUGUUUGAAUUUAACAUGUACAUAUGAUAGUUACUGUUGUCUCAGACCCUGAAAGGCAGUUUUAGGCUGAGCCAGUGGAAUAGUUAAAUUUUGCCGUUUCACUCAAAACUACAGAAUUAAAACUGUGCUCCUCCGAGUACAGUCGGAGAAUAAAAAAGCCCACAAAAUA